UAAAAACAAAAGUAUUUUCGGUUUUGUUAACAUUUUGCGCGCUGGCUGAGGCAAGGAUGCUAACGACCAGUCUUUGAUUUUUUUAAAAAAAGAUUAUCAAAAAGAGAAAUAACAGAAGACAGAUUAUCAAACAUGGAUACUAAAACACUUUUUGUGAUGGUGCUUUUUGUAGUCUCGGCCAACGCAGAGUGCUAUACUUCUUGUUCUAACGCCUAUAUCCAAAGUGUCCUGUCACACCCUUUAUCUCAGACA
rnacentral:sRNA from 1 species